CUCAAACAUUCGUUCCCCAAUUUCAUAUAUGAGCUUAUUGCCAAAAUUUGGGUAGAUACAUUAAAAACUGCUUCUGAAAAGAAAUUAAUCUUCCUCGUCAAAGAGCCACACUUAGAAGAUGAAAGUCUUCUACUAGCACCCUUUGGGAAAACUGGUGCUGUGAUUUGACGCUAAAUGAAUAAAAUUG